rnacentral:rRNA from 1 species
CCUACGGGGGGCAGCAGUCGAGAAUCAUUCACAAUGGGGGAAACCCUGAUGGUGCGACGCCGCGUGGGGGAAUGAAGGUCUUCGGAUUGUACACCCCUGUCAUGUGGGAGCAAAUUAAAAAGAUAGUACCACAAGAGGAAGAGACGGCUAACUCUGUGCCAGCAGCCGCGGUAAUACAGAGGUCUCAAGCGUUGUUAGGAAUCACUGGGCGUAAAGCGUGCGUAGGCUGUUUCGUAAGUCGUGUGUGAAAGGCGCGGGCUCAACCCGCGGACGGCACAUGAUACUGCGAGACUAGAGUAAUGGAGGGGGAACGGGAAUUCUCGGUGUAGCAGUGAAAUGCGUAGAUAUAGAGAGGAACACUCGUGGCGAAGGCGGGUUCCUGGACAUUAACUGACGCUGAGGCACGAAGGCCAGGGGAGCGAAAGGGAUUAGAUACCCUGGUAGUC